AUCAGCCACCAGCACCCUCGCCGAGACCACCCCCCCCGGGUCCACCUUAUCAGCCUCCAGCACCCUCACCUAGACCACCCACCCAGCGUCCAUCCCCUCGGCCUCCUCCUGCAUACCAGCCCCCACCACCACCUGUGGCCAGACCACCAACACCAUUCCCUUUCCCGGCACCUCCUCAACGACCACCGUCUCUCACCGGGCAGCCACCACAAGUUACUCCAGCACGACCACCACCCUCGUUUCCUCCUCCUCCUCCUCCCGUGGCUAGACCUCCGUAAGCAAUCAGAAUACACUACCCCCUUCUUCACUGUUCACCAGUUCGCGUAACACGUCAUGUAUUAAGCAGAAAUAAUCCUUCCAUACAGGCCACCCCCACCUCCUCCAUCCAGGCCCCCUCCCGGUCCGCCAUACCAGCCACCAGCACCUGUGCCUAGACCUCCACCCCAACGUCCUUCCCUUCGGCCACCACCUGCAUACCAGCCACCAGGACUACCUGUGCCGAGACCACCGCCUCCUCCAGGGCCUACGCCUUUCCCAAGGCCACC